rnacentral:misc_RNA from 1 species
GAUGAAGAACGCAGCGAAAUGCGAUAAGUAAUGUGAAUUGCAGAAUUCAGUGAAUCAUCGAAUCUUUGAACGCACAUUGCGCCCGCUAGUAUUCUGGCGGGCAUGCCUGUCCGAGCGUCAUUUCAACCCUCAAGCCCCCGGGCUUGGUGUUGGGGAUCGGCGAGCCUCCGCGCCCGCCGUCCCCUAAAUCUAGUGGCGGUCUCGCUGUAGCUUCCUCUGCGUAGUAGCACACCUCGCACUGGGAAACAGCGCGGCCACGCCGUUAAACCCCCCACUUCUGAACGUUUGACCUCGGAUCAGGUAGGAAUACCCGCUGAACUUAAGCAUAUCAAUAAGCGGAGGA